rnacentral:rRNA from 1 species
AGUGAACGCUGGCGGUAGGCCUAACACAUGCAAGUCGAACGGCAGCACAGUAAGAGCUUGCUCUUACGGGUGGCGAGUGGCGGACGGGUGAGGAAUACAUCGGAAUCUACUUUUUCGUGGGGGAUAACGUAGGGAAACUUACGCUAAUACCGCAUACGACCUACGGGUGAAAGCAGGGGAUCUUCGGACCUUUCGCGAUUGAAUGAGCCGAUGUCGGAUUAGCUAGUUGGCGGGGUAAAGGCCCACCAAGGCGACGAUCCGUAGCUGGUCUGAGAGGAUGAUCAGACACACUGGAACUGAGACACGGUCCAGACUCCUACGGGAGGCAGCAGUGGGGAAUAUUGGACAAUGGGCGCAAGCCUGAUCCAGCCAUACCGCGUGGGUGAAGAAGGCCUUCGGGUUGUAAAGCCCUUUUGUUGGGAAAGAAAAGCAGCAGGUUAAUACCCCGCUGUUCUGACGGUACCCAAAGAAUAAGCACCGGCUAACUUCGUG